GACGAACGCUGGCGGCGUGCUUAACACAUGCAAGUCGAACGGAAAGGCCCUGCUUGCAGGGUACUCGAGUGGCGAACGGGUGAGUAACACGUGGGUGAUCUGCCCUGCACUUCGGGAUAAGCCUGGGCAACUGGGUCUAAUACCGGAUAGGAGCCAUUUUUAGUGUGAUGGUUGGAAAGUUUUUUCGGUGUAGGGUGAGCUCGCGGCCUAUCAGCUUGUUGGUGGGGUAAUGGCCUACCAAGGCGGCGACGGGUAGCCGGCCUGAGAGGGUGGACUGCGACAUUGGGACUGAGAGGCGGCCCAGACUCCUACGGGAGGCAGCAGUGGGGAAUAUUGCACAAGGGGCGCAAGCCUGAUGCAGCGACGCCGCGUGGGGGAUGACGGCCUUCGGGUUGUAAACUCCUUUCGCUAGGGACGAAGCUUGUUGUGACGGUACCUAGAUAAGAAGCACCGGCUAACUACGUG
rnacentral:rRNA from 1 species